GAAACAUGUCAUUGGACCGAAGAGCUCCAGAAGAAAAACAGAGGGGCUCAGAUUCGGAAAUUCCUUGGGGAACUCAGAACCACUAAUCUAAAUGAUUUUUGAGAUGGUGAUAUCAAUAGCCACAGAGAAGCUGUUCCAAGAAAAGGAAGGAAGGAAGCUUCUUCCAUUGAAUGCUGAAGUUCUAACUUGCACCUAAUUUUGAACAGAAAGUAAGGAGAAAAUAUCAGUCAUCUUCUUGAACUCAAUUUUUAUGCACUGCAAUUGGUUGAGUAGACCCGUGGCACCAUUGUGCAUAGAUCAUGGACUGAUAGCUAAGAGAGAAGAAAUCUUCCUAAUAGUAGACCCGCCUGGA